AGCAUGGCCAGGGGCGGGGCUUCCCUGAGGCGCGCCGAGAGGCGGUGGCCCACUUCCGGCAAUAAUCGCCUGGUCGCCGUCAGGUGCCGGCCCAGGUGGCAGGCGCGCCCGUUGGGCACUGGGGGACGCGGGCGCGUCAGGUGAAGACUGGGGGCUGCAGGCGCGCUAGGAGAACUAUGCCAUUUUUGGGUCAGGACUGGAGAUCUCCUGGAUGGAGUUGGAUUAAGACAGAAGAUGGCUGGAAGAAUUGUGAAUCUUGUAGUCAGAAACUUGAAAGAGAGAAUAACCAUUGUAACAUCAGUCACAGCAUGAGAAGGACUCUGAGGCAUCUGUGGAAGCAAACCUUUUUUUUUUUUUUUUUUUCCGAGAUGGAGUCUUGCUCUGUCACCCAGGCUGGAGUGCAGUGGCGUGAUCUCGGCUCACUGCAACCUGUGCCUCCUGGGUUCAAGCAAUUCUCCUGCCUCAGCCUCCUGAGUAGCU